rnacentral:rRNA from 1 species
GCGGACGGGUGAGUAACACGUGGGUAACCUGCCUCAUAGAGGGGGAUAGCCUCCCGAAAGGGAGAUUAAUACCGCAUAAUAUAUUUUGAUCACAUGGUUGAAAUAUCAAAGGAGUAAUCCGCUAUGAGAUGGACCCGCGGCGCAUUAGCUAGUUGGUGAGGUAACGGCUCACCAAGGCGACGAUGCGUAGCCGACCUGAGAGGGUGAUCGGCCACAUUGGAACUGAGACACGGUCCAGACUCCUACGGGAGGCAGCAGUGGGGAAUAUUGCGCAAUGGGGGAAACCCUGACGCAGCAACGCCGCGUGAAUGAUGAAGGCCUUAGGGUUGUAAAGUUCUGUCUUCUGGGACGAUAAUGACGGUACCAGAGGAGGAAGCCACGGCUAACUACGUGCCAGCAGCCGCGGUAAUACGUAGGUGGCAAGCGUUGUCCGGAUUUACUGGGCGUAAAGGAUGCGUAGGCGGAUAUUUAAGUCAGAUGUGAAAUACCCGGGCUCAACUUGGGUGCUGCAUUUGAAACUGGAUAUCUAGAGUGCGGGAGAGGUAAGUGGAAUUCCUAGUGUAGCGGUGAAAUGCGUAGAGAUUAGGAAGAACACCAGUGGCGAAGGCGACUUACUGGACCGUAACUGACGCUGAGGCAUGAAAGCGUGGGGGAGCAAACAGGAUUAGAUACCCUGGUAGUCCACGCCGUAAACGAUGAA